GGAGUUUGGUCCGUGUCUCAGUACCAAUGUGGGGGACCUUCCUCUCAGAACCCCUACUGAUCGAUGGCUUGGUGGGCCGUUACCCCGCCAACAACCUAAUCAGACGCAUCCCCAUCCCAUAGCGAUGAAUCUUUGCUCCUCGUCAGAUGCCAUCAAAGGAGAACAUAGGGCAUUAAUCCGACUUUCGCCGGGCUAUUCCCUACUAUGGGCCAGGUUGGAUACGCGUUACUCACCCGUGCGCCGGUCGCCAUCAGGGAUUGCAAGCAACCCCCACUGCUGCCCCACGACUUGCAUGUGUUAAGCCUGUAGCUAGCGUUCAUC
rnacentral:rRNA from 1 species